UACACAACGCUCUUCCGAUCUGGCAUACGCAAGUCUGGUGCCAGCAGCCGCGGUAAUUCCAGCUCCAAUAGCGUAUAUUUAAGUUGCUGCAGUUAAAAAGCUCGUAGUUGGAUUUCGGGUGGGGCCUGCCGGUCCGCCGUUUCGGUGUGCACUGGCAGGGCCCACCUUGUUGCCGGGGACGGGCUCCUGGGCUUUACUUUCCGGGACUCGGAGUCGGCGCUGUUACUUUGAGUAAAUUAGAGUGUUCAAAGCAGGCCUACGCUCUGAAUACAUUAGCAUGGAAUAACACGAUAGGACUCUGGCCUAUCCUGUUGGUCUGUAGGACCGGAGUAAUGAUUAAGAGGGACAGUCGGGGGCAUUCGUAUUUCAUUGUCAGAGGUGAAAUUCUUGGAUUUAUGAAAGACGAACUACUGCGAAAGCAUUUGCCAAGGAUGUUUUCAUUAAUCAAGAACGAAAGUUGGGGGCUC
rnacentral:rRNA from 1 species